GACGAAAUAUUUUUCUUUAAAUAAGAGUUGGGACGUCGUAUAGGAGAUCAUCAUCAAGCCCCUCUUCGUUACUAUCGCCCGCGUACAAAAGACGGUUACGGGGAGGACGUCGUGUACCUGCCAUCGUUCCCACUCUAGCUGCGUAUGGGGCACAACUGUGGCAGCCAGCUCAGGAACCGCGAGAGUGUACAUAGCUCGGUCGUUGACGACGCCUUUCCAAAAGCCGCAACGCUUUGUUAUCUUCGUCCGACGAGCUUAGUCUUCAACUUGCUCGGCCAUAAGCAGCUCGAACUCCUCAAAGACCUUGUCCAUUUUGACAGCAUGAGUCGAUGCCUCUAGCACGACGACGACAGACAUCUCGGCCAGUAUGCCCGGUGCUUCUCAGCAUCAACAGAGGCCUCACAAACUGCUCGAUGACGUCUACGUCAACCUCUUUAAACAAGCGGGCGACCUAAUCACGUAGCUUGGUCAACUCCUCUGUCUGAUCCAACCCACGCAACAUCCGGAUCUUCUACAGAGCGACGACUUGGAGGCAACGAUGGUACAAGCCACGAUCGAACUCCAGCAAGUCAUGGACG
rnacentral:lncRNA from 1 species